rnacentral:rRNA from 1 species
GUGGGGAAUUUUGGACAAUGGGCGCAAGCCUGAUCCAGCAAUGCCGCGUGUAGGAAGAAGGCCUUCGGGUUGUAAACUGCUUUUGUACGGAACGAAAAGGCUCUGGUUAAUACCUGGGGCUCAUGACGGUACCGUAAGAAUAAGCACCGGCUAACUACGUGCCAGCAGCCGCGGUAAUACGUAGGGUGCAAGCGUUAAUCGGAAUUACUGGGCGUAAAGCGUGCGCAGGCGGUUUUGUAAGACAGAGGUGAAAUCCCCGGGCUCAACCUGGGAAUUGCCUUUGUGACUGCAAGGCUGGAGUGCGGCAGAGGGGGAUGGAAUUCCGCGUGUAGCAGUGAAAUGCGUAGAUAUGCGGAGGAACACCGAUGGCGAAGGCAAUCCCCUGGGCCUGCACUGACGCUCAUGCACGAAAGCGUGGGGAGCAAACAGGAUUAGAUACCCGAGUAGUCC